rnacentral:lncRNA from 1 species
GACAGGGUGCGUGAAGGCGGGUCUCCCCGGCGCCUUCUCAUCCCCUCCAGAAGCCUCCGCCCGCCGGGCCUUUCAAGCCCGCACCUCGUCUCGCCGGGCAGGUCGGGUUGCUGUGCGGCCCCGGGGCGGGCGGGAGCAUUAACGAGCCGCCCGGGGCCUCGCGGCCUGCUCUCCCCAGGAGAGCCUGCCGCGCUUGGCUCUCCAAUCAUGUCCUUCUGGGGUCGUCCUGGCAACUCACCAACUGCAGUAAAUAUCGCGAAAGGAGUUUGUCUCUUUCUGGGAUCAGCAGGUCUCAGCUGAUCCGUUACGUUCACCAUGGGAAUCUAAGAAUUUAUCAUCUGAGUGAAGAGUUGCCUUCCUCCCAGGGCUUCUCCAAGUUUUUCUCGAAGGAUUCCACCGGCCAGACAGGGCUCUGGAAGCUCAGCCCUCAAGACUUGCCGCACGUGGGAGGCUGCUGGGAGACCGUUUUGAAAAUGCAAGCACACACAGCAACAAGGACGCAUCCCACAAAUGAAACGUUCCGCAAAAGAAGUCUGCCUCAAACGACUGUGCACAAUAGUGUUCCAUUUACAUCAAGUUUUAAAGGGGGCCAAGCCAAUCGAAGGUGUCAGAAGCCAGUGUAGGGGCU